GAUGAAGAACGUAGCGAAAUGCGAUAAGUAAUGUGAAUUGCAGAAUUCAGUGAAUCAUCGAAUCUUUGAACGCACAUUGCGCCCGCCAGUUUUCUGGCGGGCAUGCCUGUUCGAGCGUCAUUACAACCCUCAGGCCCCCGGGCCUGGCGUUGGGGAUCGGCGGAGCCCCCCGUGGGCACACGCCGUCCCCCAAAUGCAGUGGCGGUCCCGCCGCAGCUUCCAUCGCGUAGUAGCUAACACCUCGCGACUGGAGAGCGGCGCGGCCACGCCGUAAAACACCCAACUCUUCUGAAGUUGACCUCGAAUCAGGUAGGAAUACCCGCUGAACUUAAGCAUAUCAAUAAGCGGAGGA
rnacentral:misc_RNA from 1 species